rnacentral:rRNA from 1 species
AGUGAACGCUGGCGGUAGGCCUAACACAUGCAAGUCGAACGGCAGCACAGUAAGAGCUUGCUCUUACGGGUGGCGAGUGGCGGACGGGUGAGGAAUACAUCGGAAUCUACUUUUUCGUGGGGGAUAACGUAGGGAAACUUACGCUAAUACCGCAUACGACCUACGGGUGAAAGCAGGGGAUCUUCGGACCUUGCGCGAUUGAAUGAGCCGAUGUCGGAUUAGCUAGUUGGCGGGGUAAAGGCCCACCAAGGCGACGAUCCGUAGCUGGUCUGAGAGGAUGAUCGGCCACACUGGAACUGAGACACGGUCCAGACUCCUACGGGAGGCAGCAGUGGGGAAUCUUGGACAAAGGGCGAAAGCCUGAUCCAGCCAUACCGCGUGGGUGAAGAAGGCCUUCGGGUUGUAAAGCCCUUUUGUUGGGAAAGAAAAGCAGCAGGUUAAUACCCCGCUGUUCUGACGGUACCCAAAGAGUAAGCACCGGCUAACUUCGUG